UACAGAGGCCUCGAGCGUUAGGCGGAAUCACUGGGCUUAAAGCGUGUGUAGGCGGACGUCUAAGUACCUUGUGAAAUCCCACGGCUCACCCGUGGAACGGCUGGGUAUACUGGUCGUCUUGAGCCUUCUAGGGGCUACCGGAACAAAUGGUGGAGCGGUGAAAUGCGUAGAUAUCGGAAGGAGCACCAGUGGCGAAGGCGGGUUCCUGGUCCAGCGCCGACGUUCAGGCACGAAAGCGUGGGGAGCAAACAGG
rnacentral:rRNA from 1 species